rnacentral:rRNA from 1 species
UACGUAGGUGGCAAGCGUUGUCCGGAAUCAUUGGGCGUAAAGCGCGUGUAGGCGGCCCGGUAAGUCCGCUGUGAAAGUCCAGGGCUCAACCCUGGAAUGCCGGUGGAUACUGUCGGGCUCGAGUCCGGAAGAGGCGAGUGGAAUUCCUGGUGUAGCGGUGAAAUGCGCAGAUAUCAGGAGGAACACCGAUGGCGAAGGCAGCUCGCUGGGACGGUACUGACGCUGAGACGCGAAAGCGUGGGGAGCAAACAGG